AGCCGCGGGGGCUUCUGGGAAGCGUUGCCCCUGGUCUAACGGACCGAGGCUUGUGGCGCUCUCAGGCACCGCCAGCGCCGUCCUCAGAGGCGCCUCGCCCCAGCCCGCGACGGCUGUGCCACUUGGGCAGCAUUAGGUGUGGAGUCGGGGCCUGUGUCCGCGGGCUCUGUGAGUUCUUCCUAUAUUAAGGAUUCAUUCAUUCAUAGACUCAUCACUUAUUGAAUGCUGUCUGUGUAACAGGCACAAUCGUAGGUGCUCAGGAUAUAGCAGUGAACAAGAGACUAACCCCCUGCUAUCAUGGUACUUACAUUUUUGUGGACCAGAUAAUAAACAAGCUCUACCUCUGCAGGCCCCAUCCCUUCCCAGAAAGAAGAGGAAAUGCGUGAGUUCCAGGGAACAGUGAUAGUCAAAGAUGUGGCUAUUGACUUCACCCAGGAGGAGUGGAAGCGAUUGGAUACUGCUCAGAGAAACCUGUACUGGAACGUGAUGCUAGAAAACUAUAACAACUUAAUCACAGUAGGCUACCCAUUCAUCAGACCUGAUGUGAUUUUCAAAUUGGAGCGAGAAGAAGAACCAUGGGUGAUGGAGGAAGAAGUAUUAAGGAGACACUGGCAAGGAGAAAUAUGGGGAGUUGAUGAGCAUCAGAAAAACCAGGACACACUUUUGAGACAAGUUGAAGAAAAAUUCCAGAAAACACUGACUGAAGAAAAAGGUAAUGACUAUCAUAAGAAAUUUGCAAAUGUGUUUCCUCUGAACUCUGAUUUUUUUCCCUUCUAGACACAAUCUCUAUGAGUAUAACUUAUUUGGGAAGUGUUUAGAACAUAAUUUUGACUGUCAUAAUAAUGUGAAAUGCCUUAUAGGAAAGGAACAUUGUGAAUAUAAUGAACCUGUGAAAUCAUACGGUAAUAGCUCAUCCCAUUUUGUCAUUACCCCCUUUAAGGGUAAUCAUUGUGGAAAAGGCUUCAAUCAAACUUUGGACCUCAUCAGACAUCUGAGAAUUCAUACUGGAGAGAAGCCCUAUGAAUGUAGUAACUGUAGAAAAGCCUUCAGUCACAAGGAAAAACUUAUUAAACAUUAUAAAAUUCAUGGUAGGGAGCAGUCUUAUGAAUGUAAUGAAUGUGGUAAAGCUUUCAUUAAAAUGUCAAAUUUCAUCAGACAUUAAAGAAUUCAUACUGGAGAGAAACCCUAUGCAUGUAAGGAAUGUGAGAAAUCCUUCAGCCAGAAAUCAAAUCUCAUUGAUCGUGAAAAAAUUCAUACUGGAGAGAAACCUUGUGAAUGUAAUGAGUGUGGAAAAGCAUUCAGCCAGAAGCAAAGCCUCAUUGCUCAUCAGAAAGUUCAUACUGGGGAGAAACCUUAUGCAUGUAAUGAAUGUGGUAAAGCCUUCCCUCGAAUUGCAUCCCUUGCUCUUCAUGUGAAAAGUCAUACAGGAGAAAAACCUUAUAAGUGUGAUAAAUGUGGUAAAGCCUUCUCUCAGUUUUCCGUGCUUAUUAUGCAUGUUAGAAUUCAUACAGAUGAAAAACCCUAUGAAUGUAAUAAGUUUGGAAAAGCCUUCUCCCAGAGCUCAGCAAUUACUGUACAUAUGCGAAGUCAUACUGGUGAGAAACCCUAUGAAUGUAAGGAAUGCAGAAAAGCCUUCUCCCAGAGCUCAUCCCUUACUAUACAUAUACGAGGACAUACAGAUGAGAAACCCUUUGACUGUAAUAAAUGUGGAAAAGCCUUCUCUCAAAUCUCAUCUUACACUUCAUAUGAGAAAACAUACAGGUGAGAAGCCCUAUCACUGUAUUGAGUGCGGCAAGGCUUUCAGCCAGAAGUCACACCUUGUCAGACACCAGAGAAUUCAUACUCAUUAGAACCCUAUGAAUAUGUGAACAUGGCAAAGCUUUCUGAAGGAAUUAACACCUCAUUGCACAUUACAUGACCAUUUCUAGAGUAGAAACCUACGAAUGUGGAAUAGCCUUCUGAAAAAGCCACAAAUUUAUGAAGCAUUAGAUAAUUCUGCCAAGGUGACAAAUUCUAUAAUGAAAAAGCUGAUUAUCAGAAACUUUCAGCAGACAUCUUAUUGAUAAUAUUUAAUCUGCAUUCUCAUUGAAAUCUGAAACAAGAUAUCUGCCAUCAGCAUAACAACACAAUACUUGAGCUCCUGGCCAAUGCAUAAAGUAAGGAAAACAAGGUUGGGAAAACCAAGACUCAAUGAAGAACUAUAAAAGUAACUUUUGUACAAGAAAUAGUUAAUUAGAAAAUAUGUUGGUAGAAAAAACCUAAGAAUAAACACAACAAUGAAUUAUGAGGUAUUUAUAAAGUUACAAAACAUAUUGAAGGACACAAAAGAACACCUGAAAAUGGCAUUUUGUCUGAAAAGACUUGACAUUGUCAAAAUAUAAUUUCUUUUCCAAAUCUCUAAGUUUAAUAUGCUUCCACUCAAAGUUUACAUCAAUUUUAAAGAACUUUACAAACUUAUCCAAAAAUUUUAUAUGGAAAAGUAAAUAAACACAAAUAGCUGAAACAAAUUUGACAAAGCAAAAUGGAGAAGACACGUUCUAAUAUUAGAUAUAUCACAUACUUAUUUAAAGCUGUUGUCAUUUAAGCAGUGUGUUAGUGAAUAAAUCAAGCAGUAGUAAGAUAAUAAGCAUUGAUACAAAAAUC